GUGAAUCAUCGAAUCUUUGAACGCAAAUUGCACUCCCUGGUAUUCCGUGGAGUAUGCCUGUUUGAGGGUCGUUAGAACAAAAAUCGAUGCGUCGCUCUUUUUUUUUAUGGGUGAUCGCGUUGGAAUUGUGCCGUCUUUCAAAUGUUAAUUCAUGUCAUAGUGGCUUGAAAUUCAUCCUUCUGUUACGAUUAAAGCGUAUUUAAUAUCAAUUUUGAUUAAGAACUCGCGAUGAUCGUACCAUUUCAUGUAGGACGUUUGACUUAACUU
rnacentral:misc_RNA from 1 species